rnacentral:lncRNA from 1 species
CCUACUGGUAUUCAUGAGGGUCCAUAGGGAUGUCUCUACUACGCGUGAGUCAUUAUUCAACAUUGUCAAUUAACCGGCCAUCCCCAUAUCGGGUGCGUUAUGAGCGCUAAAAAUAUCAUCCCUCAAUACCUCAUCCGAUAUAAAGGUGAAAUGGGUCGUCUCCAUACUCCGUCCGGUAUGGUGCCAAAAUACUAAUUCUCGAUACCCCGUUCGGCAUGAAGCGACGUUUACGAUAAGGUUCCCUAUAUACCAAGUCCAUC